AUAACGAAGAGUUUGAUCCUGGCUCAGAACGAACGUUGGCGACGCGUCUUAAGCAUGCAAGUCGGGCGGCAGCGUGUCUGGCACUAAUAGCACAUCGCAAGAAGUGUUAUUAGUGCCAGAUGACGGCGAGCGGCGGACUGGUGAGUAACACGUAGAAAAUCUGUCCAGCAGCCCGGGAUAGCCGGUGGAAACGCCGAUUAAUACCGGAUACCGUAACAGGCUGAGAAGACUGUUAUGAAAGGCCCAAAUGGGUCACUGUUGGGUGAUUCUGCGGCCUAUUAGCUAGUUGGCGGGGUAGAAGCCCACCAAGGCGAUGAUAGGUAGCCGACCUGAGAGGGUGUACGGCCACAUUGGGACUGAGAUACGGCCCAGACUCCUACGGGAGGCAGCAGCUAAGAAUAUUCCGCAAUGGGCGAAAGCCUGACGGAGCGACGUCGCGUGGUGGAUGAAGGCUUUCGGGUUGUAAACACCUUUCGGCAGGGAAGAAUAAGAUAGCGAGUGGAAAAAGCUAUUGAUGACGGUACCUGCAGAAGAAGCCCCGGCUAACUACGUGCCAGCAGCCGCGGUAAUACGUAGGGGGCAAACGUUGUUCGGAAUUAUUGGGCGUAAAGGGCGUGUAGGCUGACAAAUAAGUCAGCGGUAAAAUAUCCGGGCUUAACCCGGGAGAUGCCGCUGAUACUGUAUGUCUUGAGUUACAUAGAGGCAGCGGGAAUUCCUGGUGUAGGGGUGAAAUCUGUAGAUAUCAGGAGGAACACCGAUGGCGAAGGCAAGCUGCUGGAUGAUAACUGACGCUGAGGCGCGAAAGCCAGGGGAGCAAACGGGAUUAGAUACCCCGGUAGUCCUGGCUGUAAACGAUGCACACUAGUUGUAGGAUGUUUUAAAAAUAUUCUGUGACGAAGCAAACGCGUUAAGUGUGCCGCCUGGGAAGUAUGCCCGCAAGGGUGAAACUCAAAGGAAUUGACGGGGGCCCGCACAAGCGG
rnacentral:rRNA from 1 species